GAUGAACGCUAGCGGCAGGCUUAACACAUGCAAGUCGAGGGGCAGCGCGGUGUAGCAAUACAUUGGCGGCGACCGGCGCACGGGUGCGUAACACGUAUGGAACUUACCCUUUACUGGGAGAUAGCCCGGAGAAAUCCGGAUUAAUAUCCCAUAAUAAACGAAGUGGCAUCACUUUGUUUGUAAAGCUCCGGCGGUAAAGGAUGGCCAUGCGCACGAUUAGCUAGUAGGUGAGGUAACGGCGUCACCUAGGCUACGAUCGUUAGGGGGCCGUGAGAGGGUUAUCCCCACCACUGGUACUGAGACACGGACCAGACUCCUACGGGAGGC
rnacentral:rRNA from 1 species